CCAAUAGCGUAUAUUAAAGUUGUUGCAGUUAAAAAGCUCGUAGUUGAAUUUUAGGCCUGGCCAGGCGGUCCGUCUUUGGCGAGUACUGUCUUGUGUCGGGUCUUCCUUCUGGUGAACCUGUAUGUCCUUUAUUGGGUGUGCUGGGGAGCCAGGACCAUUACCUUGAAAAAAUUAGAGUGUUUAAAGCGGGCUAUUGCUUGAAUAGAUUAGCAUGGAAUAAUAGAAUAGGACGUUGUGGUUCUAUUUUGUUGGUUUCUAGGACCACCGUAAUGAUUAAUAGGGAUAGUUGGGGGCAUUAGUAUUCAAUUGUCAGAGGUGAAAUUCUUGGAUUUAUUGAAGACUAACUACUGCGAAAGCAUUUGCCAAGGAUGUUUUCAUUAAUCAAGAACGAAAGUUAGGGGAUCGAAGACGAUCAGAUACCGUCGUAGUCUUAACCAUAAACUAUGCCGACUAGGAAUCGGGCGACGUUAUUUUCAUGACUCGCUCGGCGCCUUAUG
rnacentral:rRNA from 1 species